GAAGGCAUCCGUUGUCCGUCCUAGUUGAGGUCCGCUCAGGCGAAGGAUUUGGCGAAGCUGUCGAUU
rnacentral:sRNA from 1 species